GCACCGAUGCCAGGUCUGGGGGUCUCUGACGUGACUCGGUACCGGGUCUCCAACCUGAGGGCGAGCUGCAGGAAGGUCUGAAGGCUGACCUUGACCCGGCACCCCCCAGGGGGUGGGACUGCAGAGCCGGCCACUAAUGCCAGGCGUGGCCUCUGUGUGAGCACCGCACCUGUCUUCCAGGAGCAGAUGCCAACAGGGACUCUGUCUCUCCCACCGUGAAAAGGCAGCCUGACUUUAAAUGUCCCUGCUGCCAGCAUCCCAGAAGACAGGAGGUGGGGUAACACGCCAUCACGGACUCCACUGACUGAGUGUCUGAGUCCAGCGCGCUCGGGAGGCAAGAAGCUCCCUCACCUCCGACACGCAGACCAUGAUGAAGACGACGUGGCUCCUUGUCACUUCUAUGUCUGCACAACCUGACCGAAGGGACUCGUUACCAAACUCUGCCUUAUAGUGGAGCCACUGAAUUGCUGAGCUGGCAGGCAUCCUGGGAAUCGCCGUCUGAUGCUUUCAGUUGCAGGUAGAGAAGGACACCUGAGUGCCUGAGACACAAAGUGACCGGUCAAGGCCACACGGCUGGUUAAUGUCAGGAAGCGUCAGCGACAAAACGUCCCCAUCCCCGUGCUUCUCAAAUGCUUGCUCUCUGGGAUUGUUUCCAGAGAUGCUCAAAUAUUCUACUGACUCCUAAGAAAUCCACGUAUAUUUGGAGUGUACAUCUCAAAGAAAUGGGGGUAUUUGAGGUAAUGUUCAUAGUGCGCUAAACCCCAGAAAGGUUCCCAGAAACAAGCGUUUCCUGCGGAAAAGCACUUCCUCUGCCUGAAGAAGGCUAGGGCACCUAAUGUGACACCAGGCAAGAAGCCACCCAACACUGGGGCCAUGCCGGAGAGCCCGCUGUGCAUGAGCCAUUGGCUGCUUCAGAGACGAGAGACCAGAGACCACAGCUCGCUUCUUUAGGUCGGCCACAUAGACCCUCUGCCUCCACAUUCUCUUUCCUCGGUUUUCCAUUCAAUAAAUACAGCCUGGAGGGAGACGGUGUCGUGGCUGGGCAGGGGAACCAAGGUUUCUGCUCCUUUAGACGGGGUCCCAAUAUCUUAGACUCCCACUCUCCUGCCGACGGUGUUUCAGCACAUGACACUGCCACUCGGGUCCCCUUCCCAAGGCGUGGCGCUGGGCUGUGAAGACUCCUCGUGGCGCCCGCGGGGAACGUAACCCCAGGUACUCAAUCCUGGGCAGCAGCACCAGGGUGGACUUUUCCGCGGUGGACUCUUGACUGGCUCUGGAUCUCUCCCCUUUGCUGCCCACACUCCGGAGACCUGCCUGAUGACCUGGCUUAAGUGGGGACUUGUGUCGUGGGAUUCCCAAGUACUGUGUGUGCCUUCCACUAAUAAAAUAGGUUUCGUCCUAACAGGA